AUGAAUGCUGGCGGCGUGUCUAAGGCAUGCAAGUCGAGUGGGUUUAGACCCACGGCAAACGGGUGCGUAACACAUUGGUAACUUACCCCGAAGUCAUGAAUAAGCCUGCGAAAGCGGGUCUAAUACAUGAUGGUAGCGAGGGGACUUAAGUCAUUCUCGCUUAAAGAUUUAUCGCUUCGGGAAAGGCCUAUGGCCUAUCAGCUAGUUGGCGAGGUAAAAGCUCACCAAGGCAAUGACGGGUAGCGGGUGUGAGAGCAUGGCCCGCCUCACUGGGACUGAGACACUGCCCAGACUCCUACGGGAGGCUGCAGUCAAGAAUAUUCCCCAAUGGCCGAAAGGCUGAGGGAGCGACGCCGCGUGUAUGAAGACGCCCUUCGGGGUGUAAAGUACUUUUAAUCGGGACGAAACAAUGACGGUACCGAUUGAAUAAGGGGCUGCUAAACUCGU
rnacentral:rRNA from 1 species